rnacentral:rRNA from 1 species
UACAGAGGUCUCAAGCGUUGUUCGGAUUCAUCGGGCGUAAAGGGUGCGUAGGUGGCGCUGUAAGUCGGGUGUGAAAUUUCGGAGCUUAACUCCGAAACUGCAUUCGAUACUGCGGUGCUUGAGGACUGGAGAGGAGACUGGAAUUCAUGGUGUAGCAGUGAAAUGCGUAGAGAUCAUGAGGAAGACCAGUGGCGAAGGCGGGUCUCUGGGCCGAUACUGACGCUGCGGAGCGAAAGCGUGGGGAGCGAACAGG